CUAGAAGUAAGGAAAACCAUCUUGGACGCAUGAUGAUGGCAGUGGAUCAGAGUCCCAAGGACACUGGUGAAGAUCAGAGCAGGACUCACACAACCUCAGAUCCCUGUGGAGUCAGGGUGGAACCAGAGGGAAGGCUGAAGGCUGGAGGGUCCUGAGAGGCCUUGCAGAAAGAGAGGACAUUGGAGCUGGGGCUUUGAUGGAUGAAGAGGAACUAGGGAAAGGCAUUUCAAGCAGAGGGAACAGCCUGUGCAACCACAGCAGGCAGCCCAGCAUGCCAGUGCUUCCUCCAUGAAUUUGAAAGACAUAUUGGCUGACCUCAUACCUAAGGAGCAGGCCAGAAUUAAGACCUUCAGGCAGCAACAUGGCAAGAAGGUGGUGGGCCAAAUCACUGUGGACAUGAUGUAUGGUGGCAUGAGAGGCAUGAAGGGAUUGGUCUAUGAAACAUCAGUUCUUGAUCCUGAUGAGGGCAUCCGUUUCUGAGGCUUUAGUAUCCCUGAAUGCCAGAAACUGCUACCCAAGGCUAAGGGUGGGGAAGAACCCCUGCCUGAGGGCUUAUUUUGGCUGCUGGUAACUGGAUGUAUCCCAACAGAGGAACAGGUAUCUUGGCUCUCAAAAGAGUGGGCAAAGAGGGCAGCUCUGCCUUCCCAUGUGGUCACCAUGCUGGACAACUUUCCCACCAAUCUACACCCCAUGUCUCAGCUCAGUGCAGCUGUUACAGCCCUCAACAGUGAAAGUAACUUUGCCCAAGCAUAUGCACGGGGUAUCAGCCGAACCAAGUACUGGGAGUUGAUUUAUGAAGACUCUGUGGAUCUAAUCACAAAGCUACCUUGUGUCGCAGCAAAGAUCUACCGAAAUCUCUAUGGAGAAGGCAGUGGUAUUGGGGCCAUUGACUCUAACCUGGACUGGUCUCACAGUUUCACCAACAUGUUAGGCUAUACUGAUCAUCAGUUCCCUGAGCUCAUGCACCUGUACCUCACUAUCCACAGUGACCAUGAGGGCGGCAAUGUAAGUGCCCAUACCAGCCACUUGGUGGGCAGUGGCCUUUCAGACCCUUACCUGUCCUUUGCAGCAGCCAUGAACGGGCUGGCAGGGCCUCUCCAUGGACUGGCAAAUCAGGAAGUGCUUGUCUGGCUAACACAGCUGCAGAAGGAAGUUGGCAAAGAUGUGUCAGAUGAGAAGUUAUGAGACUACAUCUGGAACACACUCAACUCAGGACGGGCUGUUCCAGGCUAUGGCCAUGCAGUACUAAGGAAGACUGAUCCACGAUAUACCUGUCAGCGAGAGUUUGCUCUGAAACACCUGCCUAAUGACCCCAUGUUUAAGUUGGUUGCUCAGCUAUGCAAGAUUGUGCCCAAUGUCCUCUUAGAGCAGGGUAAGGCCAAGAAUCCUUGGCCCAAUGUAGAUGCUCACAGUGGGGUGCUGCUCCAGUAUUAUGGCAUGAUGGAGAUGAAUUACUACACAGUCCUGUUUGGGGUGUCACGAGCAUUGGGUGUACUGGCACAGCUCAUCUGGAGCCGAGCCUUAGGCUUCCCUCUAGAAAGGCCCAAGUCCAUGAGCACAGAGGGUCUGAUGAAGUUUGUGGACUCUAAGUCAGGGUAAAACUGGAGACUGGGGGAAAGUGACUACCAGAAAGUGAGGAAGCCUAAAUAAAAAGUAUACUUUUGUUUCA
ensembl:lncRNA novel transcript